rnacentral:rRNA from 1 species
CAUGCUGUCAAGCCCGACUUUGCGGAAGGGUUGUAUUUAUUAGACUUAAGCCAAUAUUCCUUACGGUCUAUUGCGAUGAUUCAUAAUAACUGAUCGAAUCUCAUAAGUGAGAUAAAUCAUUCAAGUUUCUGCCCUAUCAGCUUUCGAUGGUAGUGUAUUGGACUACCAUGGCAGUAACGGGUAACGAAGAAUUAGGGUUCGAUUUCGGAGAGGGAGCAUGAGAAACGGCUACCACAUCUAAGGAAGGCAGCAGGCGCGUAAAUUACCCAAUCCUGACUCAGGGAGGUAGUGACAAGAAAUAGCAAACCGGGGACCUCACGGUCUCACGGUAUUGCAAUGAGAACAAGUUAAAACUCUUAGCGAGGAACAAGUGGAGGACAAGUCUGGUGCCAGCACCCGCGGUAAUUCCAGCUCCACUAGCGUAUACUAAAGUUGUUGCAGUUAAAAAGCUCGUAGUUGAAUUUCUGUAUGGGGCUAGUUUUGACUCACAUCUGGCUAGUUUCAUACAUCCGCUUGCAAGACCUGGAGGGCAUUYACUUGUCGCCAGGAGGAGUAGGCUUUUUACUUUGAAAAAAUUAGAGUGUUUAAGGCAGGCAAUUGCCCGCAUAUAUUAGCAUGGAAUAAUAGAAUAGGACACUUUUCCAUUUCGUUGGUUAUUGGAAUCGUGUAAUGAUUAAUAGGGACAGUUGUGGGCAUUUGUAUUUAAUUGUCAGAGGUGAAAUUCUUGGAUUUAUUAAAGACAAACUAACGCGAAAGCAUUUGCCAAGGAUGUUUUCAUUAAUCAAGAACGAAAGUUAGGGGAUCAAAGACGAUCAGAUACCGUCCUAGUCUUAACUAUAAACUAUUCCGACUCAAUGUUUGACUGGCCCCUUUAACCAGUUGAGCGUUGUAUGAGAAAUCAAAGUCUUUAGGUUCUGGGGGGAGUAUGGUUGCAAAGCUGAAACUUAAAGGAAUUGACGGAAGAGCACAACCAGGAGUGGAUUCUGCGGCUUAAUUUGACUCAACACGGGGAAACUUACCAGGUUAAAACAAUAG